UACGAAGGGGGCUAGCGUUGUUCGGAAUCACUGGGCGUAAAGCGCACGUAGGCGGAUCUUUAAGUCAGGGGUGAAAUCCCGAGGCUCAACCUCGGAACUGCCUUUGAUACUGGGGAUCUCGAGUCCGGGAGAGGUGAGUGGAACUGCGAGUGUAGAGGUGAAAUUCGUAGAUAUUCGCAAGAACACCAGUGGCGAAGGCGGCUCACUGGCCCGGAACUGACGCUGAGGUGCGAAAGCGAUGGGGAGCAAACAGGGGAUUAAGAU
rnacentral:rRNA from 1 species